CCUACGGGAGGCAGCAGUGGGGAAUAUUGCACAAUGGGGGAAACCCUGAUCCAGCAACGCCGCGUGAGUGAAGAAGUACUUCGGUAUGUAAAGCUCUAUCAGACGGGAAGAAGAUGACGGUAGCGGAUUAAGAAGCACCGGCUAACUACGUGCCAGCAGCCGCGGUAAUACGUAGGGGGCAAGCGUUAUCCGGAUUUACUGGGCGUAAAGGGAGCGCAGACGGCAAUGCAAGUCUGGAGUGAAAGCCCGGGGCCCAACCCCGGAACUGCUAUGAAAACUUUGUGGCUAGAGUAAUGGAGAGGAAGGCGGAAUACCUAGUGUAGCGGUGAAAUGCGUAGAUAUUGGGUAGAACACCGGUGGCGAAGGCGGCCUGCUGGACAGUUACUGACGCUGAGGCUCGAAAGCGUGGGGAGCAAACAGGAUUAGAUACCCUUGUAGUC
rnacentral:rRNA from 1 species